GAUGAACGCUGACAGAAUGCUUAACACAUGCAAGUCGAUGGGGAAGUGGUGCUUGCACCAUGGUAACCAUGGCGGACGGGUGGGUAACGCGUAAGGAACUUGCCUGCGGGACUGGGAUAACAGCAGGAAACUGCUGAUAAUACCGGAUAAGGUCAUUAAGCUGCAUAGCUUAGUGAUGAAAGGAGACGCCUGCGGAGAGCCUUGCGUCCUAUUAGCUAGUUGGAGGGGUAACGGCCCACCAAGGCGAAGAUAGGUAGCCGGCCUGAGAGGGUGGACGGCCACAAGGGGACUGAGAUACGGCCCUUACUCCUACGGGAGGCAGCAGUGGGGAAUAUUGGACAAUGGGGGCAACCCUGAUCCAGCAAUUCUGUGUGCACGAAGACGGUUUUCGGAUUGUAAAGUGCUUUCAGCAGGGAAGAAGGAAGUGACGGUACCUGCAGAAGAAGCGACGGCUAAAUACGUG
rnacentral:rRNA from 1 species